rnacentral:rRNA from 1 species
UACGUAGGGGGCUAGCGUUGUCCGGAUUUAUUGGGCGUAAAGAGCUCGUAGGCGGCUGUUCGAGUCGGGUGUGAAACCCCAGGGCUUAACUCUGGGCCCUGCAUUCGAUACUGGGCGGCUUGAGUCUGGUAGGGGGAUCUGGAAUUCCUGGUGUAGCGGUGGAAUGCGCGAUAUCAGGAGGAACACGGUGCGAAGGCGGGAC